AGUGAACGCUGGCGGUAGGCCUAACACAUGCAAGUCGAACGGCAGCACAGUAAGAGCUUGCUCUUACGGGUGGCGAGUGGCGGACGGGUGAGGAAUACAUCGGAAUCUACUUUUUCGUGGGGGAUAACGUAGGGAAACUUACGCUAAUACCGCAUACGACCUACGGGUGAAAGCAGGGGAUCUUCGGACCUUGCGCGAUUGAAUGAGCCGAUGUCGGAUUAGCUAGUUGGCGAGGUAAAGGCCCACCAAGGCAACGAUCCGUAGCUGGGCUGAGAGGAUGAUCAGCCACACUGGAACUGAGACACGGUCCAGACUCCUACGGGAGGCAGCAGUGGGGAAUAUUGCACAAUGGGCGAAAGCCUGAUCCAGCCAUACCGCGUGGGUGAAGAAGGCCUUCGGGUUGUAAAGCCCUUUUGUUGGGAAAGAAAAGCAGCAGGUUAAUACCCCGCUGUUCUGACGGUACCCAAAGAAUAAGCACCGGCUAACUUCGUG
rnacentral:rRNA from 1 species